rnacentral:rRNA from 1 species
ACUCAAAAACCGGUACCCACGUUCGGAUUGUAGGCUGCAACUCGCCUACAUGAAGUCGGAGUUGCUAGUAAUCGCGGAUCAGAAUGCCGCGGUGAAUGCGUUCCCGGGUCUUGUACACACCGCCCGUCACACCAUGGAAGUUGGGGGCGCCCGAAGUUGCCUAAGAAAUAAGGUACCUAAGGCGAAACCAAUGACUGGGGUGAAGUCGUAACAAGGUACC